rnacentral:rRNA from 1 species
AGAGUUUGAUCCUGGCUCAGGACGAACGCUGGCGGCGUGCUUAACACAUGCAAGUCGAACGGAAAGGCCCCUUCGGGGGUACUCGAGUGGCGAACGGGUGAGUAACACGUGGGUGAUCUGCCCUACACUUUGGGAUAAGCCUGGGAGACUGGGUCUAAUACCGAAUAGGACCGCAUGCUUCAUGGUGUGUGGUGGAAAGCUUUUGCGGUGUGGGAUGGGCCCGCGGCCUAUCAGCUUGUUGGUGGGGUAAUGGCCUACCAAGGCGACGACGGGUAGCCGGCCUGAGAGGGUGUCCGGCCACACUGGGACUGAGAUACGGCCCAGACUCCUACGGGAGGCAGCAGUGGGGAAUAUUGCACAAUGGGCGCAAGCCUGAUGCAGCGACGCCGCGUGGGGGAUGACGGCCUUCGGGUUGUAAACCUCUUUCAGUAUCGGCGAAGCUCCAGGAUUUUUCUUGGGGUGACGGUAGGUACAGAAGAAGCACCGGCCAACUACGUGCCAGCAGCCGCGGUAAUACGUAGGGUGCGAGCGUUGUCCGGAAUUACUGGGCGUAAAGAGCUCGUAGGUGGUUUGUCACGUUGUCUGUGAAAACUCACAGCUUAACUGUGGGCGUGCGGGCGAUACGGGCAGACUGGAGUACUGUAGGGGAGACUGGAAUUCCUGGUGUAGCGGUGGAAUGCGCAGAUAUCAGGGGGAACACCGGUGGCGAAGGCGGGUCUCCGGGCAGUAACUGACGCUGAGGAGCGAAAGCGUGGGGAGCGAACAGGAUUAGAUACCCUGGUAGUCCAA